UGGCCCAUGCUGAACUGAAAAGGGAAAAUGUUUUGCUGCAGCAACAGUGUAGGCACCUGGAUCAAUCGUGAGGGUCCAGCCAAGCCUUACACAUGGGUUCUGUUGCUGCACAUCAAGGCCAUUGUUCUGCCACCAGUGAGAACAAGAGUUUCCACCUGUUUUCCCAGCAACCAGAACAAAUGCAAGUGAUGCCUGUUCAAGCAGACUUUCAAAGACAGCACACAAUACUGACACACAGAGCUUGUCCACGUUUCAAGGAAACAGUGAUGGCAAUCUGUACACGGAAUAGUAGGGAAAGCAUUUCCUUUUCAACGUCAUGGAACCUGAGGCCAGAUUUCAGCCACUUCCUUGCCUGGCAAUGGAUGAAACCACAAUGGCUCUGUCCUGAGUUUCACACCCCCUUUCAAAUCCAUGGCAGCAAAGGUAGCAGAGACGCAGUUACCAAUGAGUCACAGAGCAGACAGAAAACUGUUAGUAGGUUGACAACCAGGAAUUAAGAUGCUUUUUAAAAAAACAUGUAUUUGAUGCAAGGUGCACUAGAAGUGUGUCUGAGAAAGCAGUAGUCAAAAAUAUUAGAAAAGUGGAGUCCCUAGUCAAGUGGCCUUGUGGGAUUUUGCCUAUACCUUAAUGUAUCCUGCUGAAUAAGUAAGUAGCAUUAGGUCUUCCUGAAGAAUGGUUCAAAGCCUCUACAAAAAAAUGAGGAAAUGGAGCCAUUAGAUUUUAUGUGGAACUUAGUGCAAAUUUUCAUUUAUAUUGUGUGCAAUGAUAAUGGUCUCAUUAUCUAAAUAGGCCUUCCAGGUCAUCCAUUUCUACCACCCAGUGGAUGCAGGAAUUCACAAUACAGCAUCCCUGACUAGCAUCCAGGAAUAUAUAUACCUGAUGUACCACAGGAAGGUCACCCACCAGACCCCGGACUAAGAUUAUGCCCAGGCCAGUGGGUUUUUACCACAUAUACAUCAAUUUAGAGCAGUAAGGACUGGAAGAAACUUACUUUGGGAAGAGGGGUUGGUUUCUUUUUGUAGAAAAUAAAAUGAGCCAAUUUCUAGAGACA
rnacentral:lncRNA from 1 species